UACGUAGGGGGCUAGCGUUGUCCGGAAUCAUUGGGCGUAAAGCGCACGUAGGCCGAUUGUUAAGUCAGGGGUGAAAUCCUGGAGCUCAACUCCAGAACUGCCCUUGAUACUGACGGUCUCGAGUCCGGGAGAGGUGAGUGGAACUGCGAGUGUAGAGGUGAAAUUCGUAGAUAUUCGCAAGAACACCAGUGGCGAAGGCGGCUCACUGGCCCGGUACUGACGCUGAGGUGCGAAAGCGUGGGGAGCAAACAGG
rnacentral:rRNA from 1 species